AUAUAAGGUGACGAAAAAAUAAAUUUUGUCACCAAUCCGUUUCUUCCACAUAUACUUGCAACCAUUUCGUGACGAAAUAAUUCCUCACAAAAGGAAAUGCUUUGGGUGACAAAUUCUUUUUGUCUUCCAUUUUAAAGGAGGGAUUUAAACAAUUAAAAAAAAAAAAAAAAAGAGGCAGAAAAUUUUGGCGGGUUCCAGGGGCGGGGAAAAAAUUGGGCGUUCAUCCCAAAGUUCCCCUUUCAUCCGCAAUUGCCAAUUCAGCGUCAGACCACUCCAUGUCUCUCAAACCACUCCAUCUCUCUCAGACUGCUCCCCAGCCUCCAUCUCUGCAACAUUGACUCUCUCUAUAGUCGGCGGCAUCAUCAAUCAUCAGUUUCCCGACUCAGAAAUGUCUAGAGGAGAAAAAGUGUCUACCAAAAAAAAACAAGGAAAAGUAAUGCUCCAGCCUAAUUUUCUAGCAACUCAUUACAAAACACAUUAUGAGAGGAUAAGAGAUGAGAAAGUAAAGAGGAACAAUGAGGUAUUGGAAUCUCUUGGGGUUAUGAAAAUUGCAACAUCUAUGAUGGGAUCAGCUCGGCACCAGUGUGCUAAUGAUAAUGGGAAGCGUG